CGUGUGUACUUAGACAUGCAUGGCUUAAUCUUUGAGACAAGCAUAUGCUACUGGCAGGAUCAACCAGGUAGCCGCGCCACGGGGCACGACCCGACGGGCCCGGCCCGCCGCCGACCGCUCUCGCUCCUUCCCUCUCUCUCUCUCUCGCCUGCUCGCUCGGCUUUCCCGUCUGGCCCUUGCCGGGUCGACGGCGGCGGCCGCCGGGGCGAACGCCUCUCGGCGGGGCGGGCGGCCCUCCGUCGUUCCCUCGCUCGCUCGCUCGCUCGCCGACCACGACGGAGAGGCGCGCCCGAUCCCCGGGGCGGCCCCGCCGACCUCCCCCCCGCGGGGAAGGAGCGGGGACCGCUGCGCAGCUGCUUUCGGCGGCACGCUCCGGGCCCCCCCGCGGGAGCCGGACUCGCGCUCGCGCCGCACGGCCGGCCGGGGCUGACCCGCCCUCCGGGACCGGCGGAGAAGCGGACGGGGAAACGAAGCCCCGCCGCCGGAGACGGACGUGCUAGAGGAGAACGCGACCUCGAGACGGGCGCGACCCCACGAUCGGAGACCCUUUCCCGGGGCGGCACGCUCCGCAGCGGGCGGGGACGCGGCAGGAAAACCGACACGGGCUGCGGCGGCCCGAAGGCGGAGGAGAGGCCGGCGGACGCCCCCGGCCCCCACACCCCGACGGAUCCGGAGCGGGACGCGCCGCGCUGCUCCGGGCUCGCCCGCUCGGCCGGGCGCAGCCCCCCGUUGUCUUCUCGUUCCUUCUUCUUCUGCUGCUGCUCGCUUCGCCUCGGUUCCCCGCGGUUUCCCUCGGUUGCCACCCCGCCGGCUUGCUGCUCGCGGCCGGCACUCGCCGGGCCCCGAAACGAGGGCAGCGCCGACGCCUCGCUCACAACGAAAUAGGUACGCCUGCGGCUCGCGGGGCCGCUCGGCCGUCACACAGCUGGAUUCGGUCGGGCGAGCCCUGGGGCACCGACAGGGCGGGCGGACAGACGAGUCGGCACGGCGAGGCCACGCGCCCCGAAGCCGCCGCCGCCGCCGCCCUCGGCCCAAGCGGGCGAGCGCCUCACCUCGCGAACGACGGGAAGCGAACUGGAGAGGAGGCCGCCCGUGCCUGAACACCGGACGCCGCCGCGGCUUCCCUGGGACAGGGAGCGCAGAGCGCCGGCCCGCCGGGGGCCCUCUCCGACGCGACCCGAGUGGCCUCAUCGAUCGGUGGGAGAAAGGGGGUGGGGGGGAGGAGAAAGAAAGGAGGGAGAAGGCGCGAGCCCUUCCCCCAGGCGCGGCGGAAAGACCGCACGCGCACGUGCAGGUGGGUGUGCGUGGGCAACGUCCGACGAGAGGUGCUCGCCCGUGCCUGAACACCGGCCCGCCCCACGCCACCCCGAACGAGCCGGGGAGCGGGAUAGAGCCGGCCCGCCGGGAAGCCUCCCCGACGCGCCCGAGGAGCGCCACGAAUCGGCCGGGGCUCCCGCGUGCGGGUGAGAAUGCGGUGCGAAAGGAGGACGAGGCGACGCCGCCACGACCUACGACCUCCGGGUCCCCCUCUUCCAUCGCGGCGGGACCCGCCGGGGACGCCCCCGGCCAUCCUACGUUCGGGUGCCGGCAGACCGGCCCGUGCCCUUCUCGUCUCCCUCUCUCUCUCGCCUUCGCCCUGGCGGCGCGGGAGCCGGCUUGCUUCUUGCCUCUCUCUCGCCUUCUCCGGCUUUUUUUCGCUGCUCGCCUGCAAAACCGCCUUAGCCCAGGACAGAGCUGCGGGAUGAGGAGCGACGGACAAACCGAAGCGACCGGACCGAUCGAACGAACCGAUGCCCGAGAAAGCCGCCGCCGCCGCCGCCGAUCCCCUCUCUAGGCGGCCGGCCGGUCAACCCUGCUCGCGAGCGCCCGCUCACCGCCACUACCGGAGCCGAGUCCUCACUCGCUCCUACAGACGAACAUAUAAGGCAUCCGAAAAAAACGUUCUAGUCCCAUAGGCGCCGACUACCGGCAGCGGCUCCGACGGCAGCCGAGGUUUACCUCGACGUAACUGGAGGUACAAAAUUACAGCGACGCCUCUGGCAGCUCCGGAGCUGUAGCGCCCCCCCCCACAGCCAGAGCGGCCAAGACAAUCCGAAACGGGGUAGACCUGGACGCGGAUCGCAAGCCGCCCCGGCAGCGACCUCUAGCCGCCGCCGCGGAGAGCGCGAGACGGUAGCACCCGGGUAGACCGUUCCGCCGUUUCCGAGACGCCCCGGCAGCGACCCCUAGCCGCCGCCGCCGCGGAGAGACCGAGCCGGACGGUGCCCGCCGGGACCAGGUAGACCGUUCCGCCGUGCCCCAGCCGCCCCGGCAGCGACCCCUAGCCGCCGCCGCGGAGCGACCGAGCCGGACGGGGACCGCCGGAGCCAGGUAGACCGUGCCGGCGUUUCCGAGCCGCCCCGGCAGCGACCCCUAGCCGCCGCCGCCGCGGAGAGACCGAGCCGGACGAAACCUGCCGGGGCAAGGUAGACCGUCCCGCCGUUUCCGAGACGCCCCGGCAGCGACCCCUAGCCUCCUCCGCGGAGCGACCAAGUCGGACGGGGCCCGCCGGAGCCGGGUAGACCGUCCCGCCGUUUCCCAGCCGCCCCGGCAGCGACCUCUAGCCGCCGCCGCGGAGCGACCGAGCCGGACGCAGCCUGCCGGGGCCGGGUAGACCGUUCCGCCGUUUCCGAGCCGACACGGCAGCGACCUCUAGCCGCCGCCGCGGAGCGACCGA
rnacentral:lncRNA from 1 species